rnacentral:sRNA from 1 species
UUCCGCAAGGGGAAGGAUGAGAAGCUUCGACUAAGAUUCGAUUCGAGCGCAGCGAGAAAGCGUUGCCGCAGGCAACGACCCGAAGGGCGAGGCGCAACGCGCCGAGUAAUCCUUCCCCCGCCACCA